AUGCGGAUGCGCUCCUGUUGUUUUUCUGGAAAAAAACAAGAUGCCAUGUUUUACUUUAUGAGCUUUCCAAGUUGCAUACUUCAAAGUUACUGCUUGCUCCCACACGUGAAUUGCGCAAUUUCAAUGGGUGUCGUCGAGCAUGUCAGGAAGUAUGCCCUUCGUGAAGUUUUGUCAGUAUUUUGUAUAUUUCAUUUGGCAGAGGCUUCAUGUGAUCUUAUGGAGCUUUAUAGAUGUACUGUCGUUACACUUUUAAGACCCUACAGUUCAUUAUAUCGUACAUGUGUGGCCCUUCAAUAUGUAUUACAUGUUCAGUUCUUAGAAAAUAACACAAUAGUUCGGUCGAAAACAAUGAUCAGUUUGAUAGUGCUCUCUCCUGCCCAUUUUGGUUGA
rnacentral:rRNA from 1 species